UACAGAGGUCUCAAGCGUUGUUCGGAUUCAUUGGGCGUAAAGGGUGCGUAGGUGGCGCCGUAAGUCAGGUGUGAAAUUUCGGAGCUUAACUCCGAAACUGCAUUUGAUACUGCGGUGCUUGAGGACUGGAGAGGAGACUGGAAUUUACGGUGUAGCAGUGAAAUGCGUAGAGAUCGUAAGGAAGACCAGUGGCGAAGGCGGGUCUCUGGACAGUUCCUGACGCUGAGGCACGAAGGCCAGGGGAGCGAACGGG
rnacentral:rRNA from 1 species